rnacentral:rRNA from 1 species
UACGAAGGGGCUAGCGUUGUUCGGAAUUACUGGGCGUAAAGCGCACGUAGGCUGAUUGUUUAGUGAGGGGUGAAAUCCCGGGGCUCAACCCCGGAACUGCCCUUGAUACUGCUGGUCUGGAGUUCGAGAGAGGCGAGUGGAAUUCCGAGUGUAGAGGUGAAAUUCGUAGAUAUUCGGAGGAACACCAGUGGCGAAGGCGGCUUUCUAGGCCGUUACUGACGCUGAGGCGCGAAAGCUAGGGGAGCGAACAGGAUUAGAUACCCUGGUAGUCCCUGAG